rnacentral:rRNA from 2 species
CAGCCUGAUGGAGCACACCGCGUGAGUGAAGAAGGGUUUCGGCUCGUAAAGCUCUGUUGUUAAAGAAGAACACGUAUGAGAGUAACUGUUCAUACGUUGACGGUAUUUAACCAGAAAGUCACGGCUAACUACGUGCCAGCAGCCGCGGUAAUACGUAGGUGGCAAGCGUUAUCCGGAUUUAUUGGGCGUAAAGAGAGUGCAGGCGGUUUUCUAAGUCUGAUGUGAAAGCCUUCGGCUUAACCGGAGAAGUGCAUCGGAAACUGGAUAACUUGAGUGCAGAAGAGGGUAGUGGAACUCCAUGUGUAGCGGUGGAAUGCGUAGAUAUAUGGAAGAACACCAGUGGCGAAGGCGGCUACCUGGUCUGCAACUGACGCUGAGACUCGAAAGCAUGGGUAGCGAACAGGAUUAGAUACCCUGGUAGUCCAUGCCGUAAACGAUGAGUGCUAGGUGUUGGAGGGUUUCCGCCCUUCAGUGCCGGAGCUAACGCAUUAAGCACUCCGCCUGGGGAGUACGACCGCAAGGUUGAAACUCAAAGGAAUUGACGGGGGCCCGCACAAGCGGUGGAGCAUGUGGUUUAAUUCGAAGCUACGCGAAGAACCUUACCAGGUCUUGACAUCUUGCGCCAACCCUAGAGAUAGGGCGUUUCCUUCGGGAACGCAAUGACAGGUGGUGCAUGGUCGUCGUCAGCUCGUGUCGUGAGAUGUUGGGUUAAGUCCCGCAACGAGCGCAACCCUUGUUACUAGUUGCCAGCAUUAAGUUGGGCACUCUAGUGAGACUGCCGGUGACAAACCGGAGGAAGGUGGGGACGACGUCAGAUCAUCAUGCCCCUUAUACCUGGGCUACACACGUGCUACAAUGGACGGUACAACGAGUCGCGAACUCGCGAGGGCAAGCAAAUCUCUUAAAACUCGUUCUCAGUUCGGACUGCAGGCUGCAACUCGCCUGCACGAAGUCGGAU